rnacentral:tRNA from 3 species
GUGGGUAUAGCUCAGUUUGGUUAGAGCGCCAGAUUGUGGCUCUGGAGGUCAUGGGUUCGAAUCCCACUAUCCACCCCA